AGCAUGUUAGCUCAGGGGAAGAGCGCCGGGCUCAUAACCCGGAGGUACGUUUCACCGCCACCAAAUUUGAUAAAAAAUUCAUCAAACUAACUCUCAAUAGGACCCUGGAUCGAAACCAGGACAUGCUA
rfam:Penicillium griseofulvum strain PG3 contig_90, whole genome shotgun sequence.